rnacentral:rRNA from 1 species
UACGGAGGGUGCAAGCGUUAAUCGGAAUUACUGGGCGUAAAGCGCACGUAGGUGGUUUUCUAAGUCAGCUGUGAAAUCCCCGGGCUCAACCUGGGACUUGCAGUUGAAACUGGAAAGCUAGAGUAGGGUAGAGGGGUGUGGAAUUCCAGGUGGAGCGGUGAAAUGCGUAGAGAUCGGAAAGAACACCAACGGCGAAAGCAACUCUGCUGGGCCGACACUGACACUGAGAGACGAAAGCUAGGGGAGCGAAUGGG